CUUGGUCAUUUAGAGGAAGUAAAAGUCGUAACAAGGUUUCCGUAGGUGAACCUGCGGAAGGAUCAUUAUCACGUUUAACCACGUAAUAACGAUCUGUAAAACCGAACUUUUAAGUUUCAUGUAAAGUCGAUUUGCGCAAGUAUUCGGAACCUGUCAAUUAAGUACUGGCCUCUGGAGGAAAAAAAAUGAAGAACUGCUCUUUCUGAAAAUCGCGAACAUGUGUGACCCAAACGAUCAUUUUGCUCUUCAGGUAGCGUCCUGGGUGAUUGCUGCUGUAAUGACGAGACGUUACAAACUAAAUUGUAAUUUUGAGGGUCUCGUCCUCUUAAGCAGAUUAAAUGAACGGAGUAGGUCCCGUAAGUAGUGAGAAGUACUGGGUCGGAUUUCGGUCUGAUCGAGCGGAUUAUUCGUAAUAAAUAAGUUAACUCCAGAGACAGGCAAAAGACGUGGAUGCUGAAGAACGCACAAACUAUGUCGACUCUCAAAAUUGCAUAAUUAACUAAUCUAACCUUUUGAAUUUUUGAACUAAUCUUUUUCAUACUCCCGUUAAACGGAGAUGAAAUUUCAUUACGAAACAAAAGAACAACUCUUAGCAACGGAUAUCUUGGUUCUCGUAACGAUGAAGAACGCAGCGAAAUGCGAUACGUAAUGCGAAUUGCAGAAUUCAGUGAAUCAUCAAAUCUUUGAACGCAAAUUGCGCUUUCUGGAUAGGCCAGGGAGCAUGCCUCUUUGAGCAUCGUUUCUACAAAAACUCGUUAGCUUUUUUUCUUUGGAUUCGUCCAUUGGGGGAAUCGCGAGCGGAUAAUGCGCUUCUCGCUGGAAACAGCGAGUGGCGUUAGGAAGCGUCGAGACUUAUAUUCAACAGUUUCCGCAGUGUUCGACUUCCGCAAGGAAGGCGCCUCUUAUUCAUAGAGGAUGACGCUAGCGACGUAGAUAAUUUAUUUUUUCAACGUUGCCGGUGAAGUCUGAAGCGAAUUCGAUCUGGCUAAGACAUCGUGGACCGAAUAUUGAGACUCGUGAAAAUUAAUUUUGUCUUGGAAACAAGACAAUCUUUUGAAUUAGAUCUCAAAUGAAGCAAGAUUACCCGCUGAACUUAAGCAUAUUAUUAAGCGGAGGAAAAGAAACUAACAAGGAUGCCCUCAGUAACGGCGAGUGAAGCGGGCAAAGCUCAACCUGAAAAUCGGCUUCCCUAGCGGGAUUCCGAAUUGUGGGCUAGAGACGUGUGAUCAGUGUGUGACCCAGGUAUAAAUCUCUUUGAAACGAGGUAUCAUAGAGGGUGAGAAUCCCGUCUGUGACUUGGAGUUCGCCGCGUACGAUCCGCGUUCGCAGAGUCGCG
rnacentral:rRNA from 1 species